rnacentral:rRNA from 1 species
UGGCGGUGCGUCUUAGACAUGCAAGUCGAGCGAGAAAGCCCGCAAGGGUGAGUAAAGCGGCGAACGGGUGAGUAAUACUUGGGUAACGUGCCUCCGAGAUCGGGACAACAUGCCGAAAGGCGUGCUAAUACCGGAUAAGACCACAGCGGCUGCGGCCGCAGAGGUCAAAGAUGGCGCAAGCUAUCACUUGGAGAUCGGCUCAAGCACCAUUAGCUAGUUGGCGGGGUAACAGCCCACCAAGGCUACGAUGGUUAGCCGACCUGAGAGGGUGAACGCCCACACUGGGACUGAGAUACCCCAGACUCUAACGAGCAGCAGUUGAAAUAUUCCACAAUGGGCGAAAGCCUGAUGGAGCGAACCGCGUGGAGGAUGAAGGUCUCGGAUGUAAACUCUUAGGCUAGAUGAAGGGUCGGGGUGAUAUCCGGAACUUGACAGUAUAGGCAGAUAAGCCACGGCUAACUCUGUGCCAGCAGCCGCGGUAAUACAGAGGUGGCUAACGUGUCCGGAAUUACUGGGUGUAAAGGGUCCGCAGGCUGUCCUGUAAGUCAAAGGUGAAAUGAUACGGCUUAACCGUGUCACUGCCUUUGAUACUGCAGGACUUGAGUACGGAAGAGGAGAGUGGAAUUCCCUGUGUAGCGGUGAAAUGCGUAGAUAUAGGGAAGAACACCGGUGGCGAAGGCGGCUCUCUGGUCCGAUACUGACGCUCAGGGACGAAAGCCAGGGGAGCAAACGGGAUUAGAUACCCCGGUAGUCCUGGCCGUAAACGAUGAGAACUAGGUGUUAGGGGUAUCCACUCCUCUAGUGCCGCAGCUAGCGCAUUAAGUUCUCCACCUGGGGACUACGGCCGCAAGGCUGAAACUCAAAGAAAUUGACGGGGGCCCGCACAAGCAGUGGAGCAUGUGGUUCAAUUCGACGCAACGCGAAGAACCUUACCUGGGUUUGACAUCCGCUGACCGACUAUGAAGUAGUCCUUCCCGCAAGGGACAGCGAGACAGGUGCUGCAUGCUGUCGUCAGCUCGUGUCGUGAGAUGUUGGGUUAGUCCCGCACGAGCGCAACCUUGUCUUUAGCUGCCAUCGGGUCAACCCGGGCACUCUAGAGAGACUGCGUGACAACGGAGAAGGUGGGAUGACGUCAAGUCCUCAUGGCCUUAGCCAAGCUACCACGUGCUACAUGACGAUACAAGGGAUGCGAACCCGCGAGGGGGAGCUAAUCCCAAAAAGUCCGUCCCAGUUCGGAUUGGAGUCUGCAAUUCGACUCCAUGAAGCCGGAAUUGCUAGUAAUCGCGGAUCAGAACGCCGCGGUGAAUACGUUCCCGGGCCUUGUACACACCGCCCGUCAAGUCACGAAAGCCAGUUGCACCAGAAGCGAUUGGGCUAACCCGCAAGGGAGGCAGGUCGCUAAGGUAUGAUUGGUGAUUGGGACUAAGUCGUAACAAGGUAACC